rnacentral:rRNA from 1 species
CCUACGGGUGGCAGCAGUAGGGAAUAUUGCUCAAUGGAGGAAACUCUGAAGCAGCAACGCCGCGUGGAGGAUGAAGGUUUUCGGAUUGUAAACUCCUUUUGUUAGGGAAGAUAAUGACGUUAUCUAACGAAUAAGAACCGUCUAACUCCGUGACAGCAGCGGCGGUAAUACGGAGGGUGCAAGCGUUACUCGGAAUCACUGGGCGUAAAGAGCGCGUAGGCGGCAUAGCAAGUCAGAUGUGAAAUGCUAUGGCUUAACCAUAGAACUGCAGUUGAAACUGUUAUUCUAGAGUAUGGGAGAGGUAGGUGGAAUUCUUGGUGUAGGGGUAAAAUCCGUAGAGAUCAAGAGGAAUACUCAUUGCGAAGGCGACCUGCUAGAACAUAACUGACGCUGAGGCGCGAAAGCGUGGGGAGCAAACAGGAUUAGAUACCCCUGUAGUC